UUAGCAUGGAAUAAUGAAAUAGGACGAUGAUUCUAUUUUGUUGGUUUCUAGGACCAUCGUAAUGAUUAAUAGGGACGGUCGGGGGCAUUAGUAUUCAGUUGUAAGAGGUGAAAUUCUUAGAUUUUCUGAAGACUAACUACUGCGAAAGCAUUUGUCAAGGACGUUUUCAUUAAUCAAGAACGAAAGUUAGGGGAUCGAAGAUGAUCAGAUACCGUCGUAGUCUUAACCAUAAACUAUGCCGACUAGGGAUUGGGCGACGCCUCAUGUAAAUGACGCGCCCAGCACCUUACGAGAAAUCAAAGUUUUUGGGUUCUGGGGGGAGUAUGGUCGCAAGGCUGAAACUUAAAGGAAUUGACGGAAGGGCACCACCAGGAGUGGAGCCUGCGGCUUAAUUUGACUCAACACGGGGAAACUCACCAGGUCCAGACACAAUAAGGAUUGACAGAUUGAGAGCUCUUUCUUGAUUUUGUGGGUGGUGGUGCAUGGCCGUUCUUAGUUGGUGGAGUGAUUUGUCUGCUUAAUUGCGAUAACGAACGAGACCUUAGCUUUUAUUUGCGCAGCCUAACAAUUUUGUUGGGUUUGCGCCAUAAAAGGACUAUCGAAUUCAAGUCGAUGGAAGUUUGAGGCAAUAACAGGUCUGUGAUGCCCUUAGACGUUCUGGGCCGCACGCGCGCUACACUGACGGAGCCAGCGAGUUUACCUUAGCCGAGAGGUUUGGGAAAUCUUGAGAAACUCCGUCGUGCUGGGGAUAGAGCAUUGCAAU
rnacentral:rRNA from 1 species